rnacentral:rRNA from 1 species
UACGUAGGGGGCAAGCGUUGUCCGGAUUUACUGGGCGUAAAGAGCGUGUAGGCGGCCAGACAGGUCCGUUGUGAAAACUCGAGGCUCAACCUCGAGAUGUCGAUGGAAACCGUCUGGCUAGAGUCCGGAAAAGGAGUGUGGAAUUCCUGGUGUAGCGGUGAAAUGCGCAGAUAUCAGGAAGAACACCUAUGGCGAAGGCAGCACUCUGGGACGGUACUGACGCUGAGACGCGAAAGCGUGGGGAGCGAACAGG